rnacentral:rRNA from 1 species
UACAGAGGGGGCAAGCGUUGUCCGGAUUGACUGGGCGUAAAGCGCACGUAGGUGGUUGGUUACGUGGUGUGUGAAAGCUCAGGGCUUAACCCUGAUAGGCCAUGCCAAACGAAUCGACUUGAGGCUGAGCAGAGGCGGGUGGAAUUGCCGGUGUAGUGGUGAAAUGCGUAGAGAUCGGCAGGAACACCAAGGGGGAACCCAGCCCGCUGGGCCAGACCUGACACUGAGGUGCGACAGCGUGGGGAGCGAACAGG